AGGACGAACGCUGGCGGCGUGCUUAACACAUGCAAGUCGAGCGGUGAUCCUCCUUCGGGAGGUGAUCAGCGGCGAACGGGUGAGUAACACGUGGGCAACCUGCCCCUCACACUGGGAUAACCUCGGGAAACCGGGGCUAAUACCGGAUACGACCUCGAGCGGCAUCUCUUGAGGUGGAAAGCUCCGACGGUGAGGGAUGGGCCCGCGGCCUAUCAGCUUGUUGGUGGGGUAAUGGCCUACCAAGGCGACGACGGGUAGCCGGCCUGAGAGGGCGACCGGCCACACUGGGACUGAGACACGGCCCAGACUCCUACGGGAGGCAGCAGUGGGGAAUAUUGCGCAAUGGGCGAAAGCCUGACGCAGCGACGCCGCGUGAGGGAUGGAAGGCCUUCGGGUUGUAAACCUCUUUCAGCAGGGACGAAGCGAAAGUGACGGUACCUGCAGAAGAAGCACCGGCUAACUACGUGCCAGCAGCCGACGGUAA
rnacentral:rRNA from 1 species